GCAUUGGUGGUUCAGUAGUAGAAUUCUCACCUUCCAAGUGGGAGACCUGAAUUUGAUCUCUGGAAAAUGCA
rnacentral:tRNA from 1 species